rnacentral:tmRNA from 1 species
GGGGAUGCAAUGGUCUCGACGGGGAUAGAUGGGUUUUGAUAAGCGAGCCGGGGAGCAUAAGCCCGUUACCAAUAUGCAAACUUUUAUUUAAAUAUAAAAGCAGAUUACGAUUACGCUUUGGCAGCUUAAUUGCCACCUCUUCACGGAUUUCUCCCGCGAAUUUGUGAAAGAGGUCAACUGCGGGAUACCCGAACGCUUCGUUUUUUAGUUUAAGGGGAAAUUUCAAAAAACUCGGAGGUUUUGCCCCGUUUGCGGGGAAAAAUUCUCUUAAAAACAUACGCAAACUGCGCUCGGAGAAAGUUAAAGCACAAUGUUUUCGGACAGGAGUUCGAUUCUCCUCAUCUCCACCA